rfam:Mus musculus chromosome 3, GRC primary reference assembly.
CUCCCUAGGCAAUGGGCAAAGAGACACCUUAUUGGUGGCAUUGUUCUUAUAUCAGGCAGGGGCAGAGCAGAUGACAGUCCUUUGUUCAUCCUAGCUUGAUUCUUGGCAUGGUAGCCAAAGCUGUCUUGGGCCUAUGACUCAUAA